UACGUAGGGUGCAAGCGUUGUCCGGAAUUAUUGGGCGUAAAGAGCUCGUAGGCGGUUCGUCGCGUCGGCUGUGAAAUCCCGAGGCUCAACCUCGGGUCUGCAGUCGAUACGGGCGGACUGGAGUACUGCAGGGGAGACUGGAAUUCCUGGUGGUAGCGGUGAAAUGCGCAGAUAUCAGGAGGAACGCCGGUGGCGAAGGCGGGUCUCUGGGCAGUUACUACGCUGGAGGAGCGAAAGCGUGGGGAGGCGA
rnacentral:rRNA from 1 species